UACGGAGGUGGCGAGCGUUACUCGGAUUUACUGGGUGUAAAGGGUCCGCAGGCGGCCUUGUAAGUGAGAGGUGAAAUCUUCUAGCUCAACUAGAAAACUGCCUCUUAUACUGCUUGGCUCGAGGGUGUGAUAGGAGACUAGAACUGCACGUGUAAAGGUGAAAUUUGUGGAUAUGUGCAGGAAUGCCUAUGGUGAAGACAGGUCUCUGGUACACUCCUGACGCUCAGGGACGAAAGCAUGGGGAG
rnacentral:rRNA from 1 species